rnacentral:rRNA from 1 species
GACGAACGCUGGCGGCGUGCCUAAUACAUGCAAGUAGAACGCACAGUUUAUACCGUAGCUUGCUACACCAUAAACUGUGAGUUGCGAACGGGUGAGUAACGCGUAGGUAACCUGCCUGGUAGCGGGGAUAACUAUUGGAAACGAUAGCUAAUACCGCAUACUAUUAAUUAUUGCAUGAUAAUUGAUUGAAAGAUGCAAUUGCAUCACUACCAGAUGGACCUGCGUUGUAUUAGCUAGUAGGUGAGGUAACGGCUCACCUAGGCGACGAUACAUAGCCGACCUGAGAGGUGAAUCGGCGACGCUGUGACUGAGACGCGGCCCAGACUCCUACGGGAGGCAGCAGUAGGGAAUCUUCGGCGAUGGACGAGAGUCUGACCGAGCAACGCCGCGUGAGUGAAGAAGGUUAUCGGAUCGUAAAGCUCUGUUGUAAGGGAAGAACGGGUGUGAGAGUGGAAAGUUCACACUGUGACGGUAUCUUACCAGAAAGGGACGGCUAACUACGUG